CACGUAGGGUGCGAGCGUUGUCCGGAAUUAUUGGGCGUAAAGAGCUCGUAGGCGGUGUGUCGCGUCGGCCGUGAAAACCUGCAGCUUAACUGUGGGCUUGCGGUCGAUACGGGCAUCACUGGAGUUCGGCAGGGGAGACUGGAAUUCCUGGUGUAGCGGUGAAAUGCGUAGAUAUCAAGAGGAACACCUGAGGUGAAGACGGGUUGCUAGGCUGACACUGACGCUGAGGCGCGAAAGCCAGGGGAGCAAACGGG
rnacentral:rRNA from 1 species